CCUAGCUAGUCUACCAAGCAGAAUGACUUUUAGUUUGCCCUCCCGAAACUAAGUGAGCUACUUUAAGAUAGCCCUAGAGCUAACCCGUCUCUGUUGCAAAAGAGUGGGAAAAUCCUAAAGUAGAGGUGAUAUACCUAUCGAACUUAGAGAUAGCUGGUUUUUUAAGAAAAGAAUUUUAGUUCUACUUUAAAUUUUAUAUUAAACAAAAAUAUACCUAAAUUUAAAAGCUACUCAAAUAAGGCACAGCUUAUUUGAAAUAGGAUACAACCUAGACCUCAGGGUAAGAUAAAUUAAAUUUUGAUAAGUGGGCCUAAAAGCAGCCAUCUUUCAAAAAGCGUCAUAGCUUAGUAAGCACAAUUUGACUAAUACCAGUACUCACCUCUAACCCUUAUACACUAUUAAAAACCCCAUAAUAUUAUGGAAGCUACUAUGCUAGAACAAGUAACAAGAAAAAGACUUUCUCCAAAAAUGUAAGCUUAAGCCAUAAUAGACCUGCUACUGGCAAUUAACACCCAUAAACCCACUGUAACAACUUUCACAAGAAAACUUUACAGCCCCCGACGUUAAACUUACACCAGCACAUUAAUGGAAAGAUUAAAAGAGUAGGAAGGAACUCGGCAAAUAUAGACCCCGCCUGUUUAC
rnacentral:rRNA from 1 species